rnacentral:tRNA from 1 species
ACGCGCCAGAUUUAGGUUCUGGUGUCCUAGGACGUGGAGGUUCAAGUCCUCUCUCGCGUACCA